UUAAAUUUUUGUCAAAAACAAGAAUUUUCGUAACUGGAAAUUUUAAAAUAUUAAAAACUUUCAACAACGGAUCUCUUGGUUCUCGCAUCGAUGAAGAACGCAGCGAAAUGCGAUACGUAAUGUGAAUUGCAGAAUUCCGUGAAUCAUCGAAUCUUUGAACGCACAUUGCGCCCCUUGGUAUUCCAGGGGGCAUGCCUGUUUGAGCGUCAUUUCCUUCUCAAACAUUCUGUUUGGUAGUGAGUGAUACUCUUUGGAGUUAACUUGAAAUUGCUGGCCUUUUCAUUGGAUGUUUUUUUUCCAAAGAGAGGUUUCUCUGCGUGCUUGAGGUAUAAUGCAAGUACGGUCGUUUUAGGUUUUACCAACUGCGGCUAAUCUUUUUUUAUACUGAGCGUAUUGGAACGUUAUCGAUAAGAAGAGAGCGUCUAGGCGAACAAUGUUCUUAAAGUUUGACCUCAAAUCAGGUAGGAGUACCCGCUGAACUUAAGCAUAUCAAUAAGCGGAGGA
rnacentral:rRNA from 1 species